UCCUUCCCUCUGUCACUUGUCCUGAUUCCAGUAACAUGGGCCCACGCCGGACCACACGUCAAACGGCUGGUCAGCAUUCAAAUGUGCAUCAUUUCCCACAGUCUGCUGGAGAUGCUUGUGCCGCUAAUCCUCCUGCUUCUGUGUCCAACUCAGUAUCUGCUUUGUUUAGACCUUGGAGUUAGCUUGUUGUACUAGCCUCACUUUGUUGAUCGUCGGGACGACGAUCCAAGGAGGCGGGGUAGAAUGUAGCAGCAUAGACAUAGGGCUGUCAUGCGGCAGUUAAUUGCACCUGCUGACCAUUGGGGCGGCAGUAUAUAAGUACGGCCCUCCUUCUCGCACGCUCACUAACGCAUCAUUUCCGGGUCAGGUGUUUGCCUGUGCAGAGCAGCGACCGAGUGCCCCGUGCUUUGUGCUCCAUGCUCCGUUUAGACCUUGGUUCUCUCUGGCGGUGGUAAGUGUCCUCUCUCUCUGUGUUACACCGAAUGCUAUCCUGUAGCUAACGCUAGUGUGGUCACAGGUAGAUGUCCGCUGCCGUGUGGGUCUCUCUCUCCCUCCCUCUCCCUGUGCAGGUUUGACUUUGAAAACAGGUAUGCUACCUUAAAUCUAACUCUCAAAAGCUUUGAUUAAUGUAGUUUAGCUAUGCUAAUGGUAUGUUUAUUGACAGGGAAUGCUCGUCAGCUGGCCGAAAUCUACAGGUGGCGAUUCACGUGCCUUCACCACCAGCUGAUUGGGACCGCUGCUGUUUUGUCUCUGCUUUGUCUCUGCCUUGUCGCUGCUUUGUCGGUGUUUUGUCUAUGCUUUGUCUACACUGAUUUAUUUACAUUGCUUUGUCCGCACCGCUUUGCCUCUGCCGUUAAACACACGGUUGCUGUGUUUAUACCGCUUUGUCGACUAUAUGUCUGCUGUUGUGCCCCCUACUGCUAGCUGCAUAGCUGUGUCUCUGCUGCUGUAUGUGACAUUGUCCCCUGCUUUGCCUCUGCAGUCACUUAUUCCUUGCUGCCGUGUUCUGCGGCUCUGGCUGCUUGGUGGCUUCUGGCUACAGCCGGCUUGCAUGGUGAACUGCAGACACCAUACUUUUAAUCUGUUUAUCUCUUUUUAUUUUAGCUGAACGAUGGUGAGGAGUUAAUCCCUUAUUUUUGUAUUACUUGUUUUGUUUAUUGUUUUGAUUAACUAGCUUGGUAAGCUUAAUUGGUUAACUAUUUCCUGCUUUAUGUUGUAUAUUGUUUUUAUUAUAUUUAUAUUUUGUGUUAAAUACUUCCAUUGUAACUUUUGUUUUCCCUUCUCAGUGGCUGCAGGCUGGUGGUGGUGUUGGUGACGUGGGUGGUGGUGUCCCUCCUUCUUGUGUGCUGUGCUUCCUUGGAUUCGGUGAUACCACAGUGUGUGACUGCCACGUGUGUCUGGGUGAACCCUUUUUCUUUAAUUUAAUUUUGUUGACUCCCCUUCCCCUUCACCUGCUCUUUCCCCACCAGUAGGCCUCAGCCCCUGAUUAGGCUCCCUUUUUCAUUUAUUGGGAUGAAUGCUAUUUUUUAUAAUGAUAUAUAUAUAUUUAUUAAAUAAAGUAUUUUUGUAAACUGGGAA